AUGCUCACUUUGGCAGUACAUACACUAAAAUUGGAAGGAUACAGAGAAGAUUAGCAUGGCCCCAGGGCAAGGAUGACAUGCAAAUUUGUGAAGCAUUCUACAUUAAA